rnacentral:rRNA from 1 species
GAUGAACGCUGGCUACAGGCUUAACACAUGCAAGUCGUGGGGAAACGGCAUUAUGUGCUUGCACAUUCUGGACGUCGACCGGCGCACGGGUGAGUAUCGCGUAUCCAACCUGCCCCUUACUUGGGGAUACCCCGUCGAAAGACGGCCUAAUACCCGAUGUGUUUCAUUGACGGCAUCCGAUAUGAAACAAAGGUUUUUCCGGUAAGGGAUGGGGAUGCGUCUGAUUAGCUAGUUGGCGGGGCAACGGCCCACCAAGGCGACGAUCAGUAGGGGUUCUGGGAGGAAGGUCCCCCACACUGGAACUGAGACACGGUCCAGACUCCUACGGGAGGCAGCAGUGAGGAAUAUUGGUCAAUGGGCGGAAGCCUGAACCAGCCAAGUAGCGUGCAGGAUGACGGCCCUAUGGGUUGUAAACUGCUUUUAUGCGGGGAUAAAGUGGCCCACGUGUGGGUUUUUGCAGGUACCGCAUGAAUAAGGACCGGCUAAUUCCGUGCCAGCAGCCGCGGUAAUACGGAAGGUCCGGGCGUUAUCCGGAUUUAUUGGGUUUAAAGGGAGCGUAGGCCGCCCCUUAAGCGUGUUGUGAAAUGCGGGUGCUCAACAUCCGACUUGCAGCGCGAACUGGGGGGCUUGAGUGCGCCGAAAGUAGGCGGAAUUCGUGGUGUAGCGGUGAAAUGCUUAGAUAUCACGAAGAACUCCGAUUGCGAAGGCAGCUUACUGUAGCGCAACUGACGCUGAUGCUCGAAAGCGUGGGUAUCGAACAGG